CAGAGGUCUCGAGCGUUAGGCGGAAUCACUGGGCUUAAAGCGUGUGUAGGCGGGUCGUUAAGUACCUUGUGAAAUCCCAUGGCUCAACCAUGGAACUGCUGGGUAUACUGGCGAUCUUGUGCAACCUAGGGGCGAGCGGAACAGAUGGUGGAGCGGUGAAAUGCGUAGAUAUCAUCUGGAACGCCAAUGGUGAAAACAGCUCGCUGGGGGUUUGCAGACGCUGAGACACGAAAGCCAGGGGAGCGAACGGGAUUAGAUACCCCGGUAGUCCUGGCCCUAAACGAUGUCCACUAGAUCGUAGCUGCUCUGACGUAGUUAUGGUCGAAGCAAAAGUGACUAAGUGGACCGCCUGGGAAGUACGGUCGCAAGGCUA
rnacentral:rRNA from 1 species